AUGGAGUUGGAUUCGGUCGAACAGGCAGCACACCUCACAGAGGAACGUGCGCAGUCGGUGCUAGCCUGCUUGAAUACAUUCAUGGGCAGGACAGCGGUCCCACUGAAACUUUUUCAGAGGCUCCUGGGGCAUAUGGCGGCUGCCGCUCGGCCUGUUACAUAUGAGACCGCUCCAGCACUGGUUUUAUGGCCGAGUCCCGAGGUGGGCGUGGAAGCGCGGCACUCACCGGGUCCAAGUUACACCGGCCUGUCGCCAAACCCUCACCCCGUGGUCAGAUCUUGCAUUUCUCAGGGCAGGGGUGCCUCUAGAGCAGAUCUCAAGGCAUGCUGUGGUUUACACGGAUGCCUCCACCACCGGCUGGGGGGCCACGUACAACGGGCAUGCAGUCUCAGGGGUUUGGACGGGCCCGCAGCUGCAGUGGCACAUCAAUUGCCUAGAGUUGUUAGCAGUGCACCUUGCCUUGCAUGUGCUGGUCCGAACGGACAACACGGCGACCGUUGCGUACAUCAACCUACAAGGUGGUCUGCGCUCCCGUCGCAUGUCACAACUCGCCCGCCACCUCCUCCUUUGGAGUCGGAAGGUUCUGAGGUCACUUCGUGCCGUCCACAUUCCGGGCCUGCUCAACCGUACAGCCGACAAGCUGUCUCGAGCAAUGCUCCCGGGAGAAUGGCGACUCCAUCCCCUGAUGGUCCAGCUGAUUUGGAGAUGGUUCAGAGCCGCUCAGGUAGACCUGUUUGCUUCUCCAGAGACCUCUCACUGCCAGUUGUUCUACUCCCUGACCAAGGGAACUCUCGGCACGGACGCACUGGCACACAGCUGACCGCGGGGCCUACGCAAGUAUGCGUUUCCCCCAGUGAGCCUUCUUGCACAGACACUGUGCAAAUCCGGGAGGACGAGGAGCAAGUCUUGCUAGUGGCGCCGUAUUGGCCCACGCGGACCUGGUUCCCCGAACUAGUGCUCCUCGCGACAGCCCCUCCUUGGCCGAUUCCUCUGAGGAAGGAUCUACUGACUCAGAGAUGGGGCACCAUUUGGCACCCGCGUCCAGACCUUUGGAAACUCCAUGUCUGGUCCCUGGACGGGACGCGGAGGUUCUAG
rnacentral:lncRNA from 1 species